rnacentral:rRNA from 1 species
UACGAAGGGGGCUAGCGUUGCUCGGAAUUACUGGGCGUAAAGGGCGCGUAGGCGGAUUGAUAAGUUGGAGGUGAAAGCCCAGGGCUCAACCCUGGAAUUGCCUUCAAUACUGUCAGUCUUGAGUAUGAGAGAGGUGUGUGGAACUCCGAGUGUAGAGGUGAAAUUCGUAGAUAUUCGGAAGAACACCAGUGGCGAAGGCGACACACUGGCUCAUUACUGACGCUGAGGCGCGAAAGCGUGGGGAGCAAACAGG